rfam:Bombyx mori DNA, contig: Bm_scaf4_contig4213, strain: p50T/Dazao, build 2, whole genome shotgun sequence.
UUAACUCAUAUUUGUAUGGAAUAGGAUCGUUUGCCUACGUUUGCCGCUAGGAGCGCUGUUCCAACUACAUACAAAACUAUGGGUUA